rnacentral:rRNA from 1 species
CAGUCGCCGCGGUAAUACGGAGGAUCCAAGCGUUAUCCGGAUUUAUUGGGUUUAAAGGGUGCGUAGGUGGCCUGUUAAGUCAGGGGUGAAAGACGGUAGCUCAACUAUCGCAGUGCCCCUGAUACUGAUGGGCUUGAGUGAACUAGAGGUAGGCGGAAUGUGACAAGUAGCGGUGAAAUGCAUAGAUAUGUCACAGAACACCAAUUGCGAAGGCAGCUUACUAUGGUUUUAUUGACACUGAGGCACGAAAGCGUGGGGAUCAAACAGGAUUAGAUACCCGCGUAGUCCCUGUCUCUUAUAC